rnacentral:rRNA from 1 species
UGGGGAAUAUUGGACAAUGGGCGCAAGCCUGAUCCAGCAACGCCGCGUGGAGGACGAAGGUCUUCGGAUCGUAAACUCCUGUCAGGCGGGACGAAGGCUUCCGGGCAAAUAGUUCGGAAGCUUGACGGUACUGCCAGAGGAAGCCCCGGCUAACUCCGUGCCAGCAGCCGCGGUAAUACGGAGGGGGCUAGCGUUAUUCGGAAUUAUUGGGCGUAAAGGGCGCGUAGGCGGCCCGGUAAGUCAAAGGUGAAAUCCCUCGGCUCAACUGAGGAACUGCCUUUGAAACUGUCGGGCUUGAGGCCGGGAGGGGGUAGCGGAAUUCCCAGUGUAGCGGUGAAAUGCGUAGAUAUUGGGAGGAACACCGGUGCGAAGGCGGCUACCUGGACCGGUUCUGACGCUGAUGCGCGAAAGCGUGGGUAGCAAACAGGAUUAGAUACCCUGGUAGUCCACGCUGUAAACGAUGAGUGCUCGGUGUCGCGGGUAUCGACCCCUGCGGUGCCUUAGCUAACGCGUUAAGCACCG